rnacentral:rRNA from 1 species
GGACUACUAGGGUAUCUAAUCCCGUUCGCUCCCCAUGCUGUCGUGUCUGAGCGUCAGUGUCGAGCCAGGGCGCCGCCUUCGCCUCUGGGGUUCCUCCGGAUCUCUACGCAUUUCACCACUACACCCGGAAUUCCACGCCCCUCUCUCGCACUCUAGCUACCCAGUCUGGCAUAACCCCGCCCGGUUGAGCCGGGAGAUUUCAUACACCACUUGGGCAGCCGCCUGCACACGCUUUACGCCCAGUAAAUCCGGAUAACGCUCGCCACCUACGUUUUACCGCGGCUGCUGGCAC